rnacentral:rRNA from 1 species
CCGACCUUGACAUCCCAAUGAAUGCAGAGUAAAAUUUGCAGCCCUUCGGGGCAUUGGAGACAGGUGGUGCAUGGUUGUCGUCAGCUCGUGUCGUGAGAUGUUGGGUUAAGUCCCGCAACGAGCGCAACCCCUGCCCCCAGUAGCCAGCAGGUAAAGCUGGGCACUCUGGGGGGACUGUCCGGGAUAACCGGGAGGAAGGUGGGGAUGACGUCAAAUCAUCAUGCCCCUUAUGGCCGGGGCUACACACGUGCUACAAUGGCGUGAACAGAGGGAAGCGAGCCUGCGAGGGGGAGCGAAUCCCAAAAAUAACGUCCCAGUUCGGAUUGUAGUCUGCAACCCGACUACAUGAAGCUGGAAUCGCUAGUAAUCGCGGAUCAGAAUGCCGCGGUGAAUACGUUCCC